GUGUCAGCAGCCGCGGUAAUACGGAGACUGCAAGCGUUGCUCGGAUUCACUGGGCGUAAAGGGUGCGUAGGUGGCCAAGUGUGUCAGGUGUGAAAUUCCGGAGCUUAACUCCGGAGCUGCGCCUGAAACUACUUGGCUAGAGUUUCGGAGAGGUAAGUGGAAUUUCUGGUGUAGCGGUGAAAUGCAUAGAUAUCAGAAGGAACACCAAAGGCGAAGGCAGCUUACUGGACGAAUACUGACACUCAAGCACGAAAGCGUGGGGAGCAAAAGGGAUUAGAUACCCCUGUAGUCCACGCCGUAAACGUUGUACACUAGGUUUUGGGCGAUUCGACCCGCUCAGAGCCCAAGCUAACGUGUUAAGUGUACCGCCUGAGGACUACGGCCGCAAGGCUAAA
rnacentral:rRNA from 1 species